rnacentral:rRNA from 1 species
AGAGUUUGAUCCUGGCUCAGGAUGAACGCUAGCGACAGGCCUAACACAUGCAAGUCGAGGGGCAUCGGGACGUAGCAAUACGUUGCCGGCGACCGGCGGAUGGGUGAGUAACGCGUAUGCAACCUACCCGCAGCAGGGGGAUAGCCCGUUGAAAGACGGAUUAAUACCCCGUAACACAGGGGCUCCGCAUGGAGAUUAUUGUUAAAGGGUCAUUUCUUUUUCAGGGAUGGUCCGGCUGCGGAUGGGCAUGCGUUCCAUUAGGUAGUUGGUGUAGGUAAUGGCUCACCAAGCCGACGAUGGAUAGGGGAACUGAGAGGUUGGUCCCCCACACUGGUACUGAGACACGGACCAGACUCCUACGGGAGGCAGCAGUGAGGAAUCUUGGUCAAUGGACGCAAGUCUGAACCAGCCAUGUCGCGUGAAGGAGGACGGCCCUAAGGGUUGUAAACUUCUUUUGCAGUGGAAUAAAGUUUGCCACGAGUUGGCGAUUUGCAAGUACGCUGCGAAUAAGGAUCGGCUAACUCCGUGCCAGCAGCCGCGGUAAUACGGAGGAUCCGGGCGUUAUCCGGAUUUAUUGGGUUUAAAGGGUGCGCAGGCGGGGAUUUAGGUCGGCGGUGAAAUUUCGGGGCUCAACCUCGAUAGUGCCGUUGAAACCGUUUCUCUUGAGUGCGGAUGAGGUAGGCGGAAUUUGUGGUGUAGCGGUGAAAUGCGUAGAUAUCACAAGGAACACCGAUUGCGGAGGCAGCUUACUAAACCGUUACUGACGCUCAUGCACGAAAGCGUGGGGAUCAAACAGGAUUAGAUACCCUGGUAGUCCACGCAGUAAACGAUGAUUACUUGCUGUUUGCGAUACACAGUAAGCGGCGUAGCGAAAGCGUUAAGUAAUCCACCUGGGGAGUACGUUCGCANAAUGAAACUCAAGGAAUUGACGGGGCCCGCACAAGCGGAGGAACAUG